CGCUCUCUCUGAGGAAGUUUCGCUGGAGAGCGCACUGGACUGUAUCUGCUCGGACUGGAUGCAUCCCAGUAACGAUAUCUACCGCCUGCGAGACCUCAAGCUCGUGCGCUGGUGAUUGAUUUGAGUCCACAGGAGAGCAACGAUGAUACCCGCUGAUUCGCAUUCAAGUUAAAGCCGUUGUGUUUUGAGCAUUUUUGGAUUAACACCGUUUCUAAAGUGAAUAUGGGUCCUGUUUGGAUCCUCCUAACCGUUUUAAUUGGAUACAGCGCCAGCUUGCCAGGAGCGAAAGGAGCAUGUGUCCAUCAAGGCUCAUUGUUUGCGAACAAUACAUCAUGGAAACCAGACACCUGUCAAGACUGCAUCUGCUACAAUGAUAUUGUCAUCUGCAAACCCACUCGCUGCCAAAAUCCCCAGUGUGACUUUCAGAGGG